rnacentral:rRNA from 1 species
AUGCAUCACAAAUUGCCAGACACAAGUGUUCCCAGCGUCAAGCUUGCACCCACUCAAAUGGCCGUGACUAGUGCUGACGAUGCGGCGAGCAGCCCGAGGAUGAUCAACGCCGGCAGUGCUGCAACCCGUGGCGCCUUUGCCGCAUCGGAGUGGGGCGGUUUCUUCAUCACCCACGACCCUCCUCACCCACAGAGGUCGGAGGAGUGGAUGAGGGAGAGGGUGGAGGAGCUCAAGGGGCGAGUGCGCACGAUGUUCUCUGACGACAGUGUGGCCGAGGCAGUGACAUUGAUGGACACACUUGAGCGUCUCGGCGUGGAUGGCCACUUCCACGAAGAGAUUGACUCGGCCAUAAGCCGGAUCGUUCACCCGGAUGAGUCCGCUGGUUCUGAUGACCUUCAUGUUGUCGCGACUCGGUUUCGCCUGCUUCGGCAGCAUGGGAUAUGGGUGUCCACAGAUGCGUUGGACAACUUUAGAGAUGGCAUGGGCAACUUCAAGGCAAGCCUGAGCAGUGACCCAAGAGCUCUACUAAGCUUGUACAACGCAGCUCACAUGGCGGUACCGGGUGAUGGCCCGGCCCUCGACGAUGUCAUCAACUUCACACGGCACCAGCUCGAGGCCGUUGCAGCAAAAGGUGAGCUCCGGUCGCCGUUGGCGGAGCAGGUCGCCCGCGCCCUUGACCACCCUCUCCCGCGGUUCACCAGGCUGCUAGAGACCAUGUAUUACGUUGGUGAGUAUGCGCAGGAGGAGACGCACGACAAUACGCUGCUAGAGCUUGCUAGGCUCAACUCUCACCUCAUGAGGUCUCUUCACCUCAGGGAGCUAAAGGCACUGUCCUUGUGGUGGAGGGAUCUUUACGACACGGUGAAUCUACCGUACACUCGAGACCGUAUGGUGGAGGUCUACUUUUGGAGUUGCGGAAUGAUCCCUGAGGAGGAACACUCACGCGCACGAUUGAUGUUCGCCAAGACGUUUGGGUUGGUGACUUUUCUUGACGAUACCUAUGAUGUCCAUGCCACCUUAGAGGAAUGUCAUAGUUUCACCGGAGCCAUGCAGAGAUGGGACGAUAGCGCGGUUUCUAUUCUACCUGAAUACCUUCGCAUGCUAUACAUCAAAACGCUAAGCAACUUCAAAGAUUUUGAGAAUAUGUUGAAACCGCACGAGAAGUACCGCAUGUCUUAUGCAAGAAAGGCGUACCAACUGCAGGCGAAAUAUUAUAUGCAAGAGGCCCAAUGGUCCAACGACAAGCACCAGCCGACCUUCAAGGAACACGAGGAGUUGUCGGUCAUGUCUUCGGGCUUGCCCAUGCUUAACCUUGUGGCCCUCAUGGGCUAUGGCGCCAUAGCAACAAAGAAGGUAUUCGAGUGGACAUGUGCCGUUCCCGACGUAGUCCGUGCCGGUGCACAGAUCGGUCGCUUCCUCAACGACAUCUCCUCUUACAAGUUGGGGAAGAACAAGAAGGACGUGGCUAGCUCCGUGGAGUGCUACAUGGGGGAGAAGGGUACCACAGGGGAGGAGGCUGUGGCGGCAAUCGCCGCCAUGAUAGAGGAUAGUUGGAGGACCAUGAACCUAGCAUGCAUGGAUAUGGACCGCGCAUUGUUGCCGGCGGCGCAACUAGUGGUGAACAUAGCAAGGUCGAACGAGGUCAUCUACCUCCGCGGAAGGGACGGUUACACCUUUGGUAGCCACGUCAAGGACCUUGUCACCAUGCUUUUCCUCGCCCCCAUCCCCCUUUAA